AGCGAACGCUGGCGGCAGGCCUAGCACAUGCAAGUCGAACGGAUCCUUCGGGAUUAGUGGCGGACGGGUGAGUAACACGUGGGAACGUGCCCUUUGGUUCGGAACAACUCAGGGAAACUUGAGCUAAUACCGGAUGUGCCCUUCGGGGGAAAGAUUUAUCGCCAUUGGAGCGGCCCGCGUCUGAUUAGCUAGUUGGUGAGGUAAAGGCUCACCAAGGCGACGAUCAGUAGCUGGUCUGAGAGGAUGAUCAGCCACAUUGGGACUGAGACACGGCCCAAACACCUACGGGAGGCAGCAGUGGGGAAUCUGGCGCAAUGGGCGAAAGCCUGACGAAGCCAUGCCGCGUGAGUGAUGAAGGUCUUAGGAUUGUAAAAUUCUUUCACCGGGGACGAUAAUGACGGUACCCGGAGAAGAAGCCCCGGCUAACUUCGUGCCAGCCGCCGCCGUAA
rnacentral:rRNA from 1 species